rnacentral:rRNA from 1 species
UACGGAGGGAGCUAGCGUUGUUCGGAAUUACUGGGCGUAAAGCGCACGUAGGCGGCUUUGUAAGUUAGAGGUGAAAGCCCGGAGCUCAACUCCGGAAUUGCCUUUAAGACUGCAUCGCUCGAAUCCAGGAGAGGUGAGUGGAAUUCCGAGUGUAGAGGUGAAAUUCGUAGAUAUUCGGAAGAACACCAGUGGCGAAGGCGGCUCACUGGAGCUGGUAUUGACGCUGAGGUGCGAAAGCGUGGGGGAGCAAACAGG